GAAAUGCGAUACGUAGUGUGAAUUGCAGAAUUCCGUGAACCAUCGAAUCUUUGAACGCAUAUUGCGCUCGACCCCCCGGGGAAGAGCAUGUCUGCCUCAGCGUCGGUUUACACCCUCACCCCACUUACUUCACAGUAAGCGCUUGCUGCGUUGUAUGACCAGCAACUGGGAUGGAUCUGGCCCUCCCAAUUGAAGCAAUUCGAUUGGGUUGGCUGAAGCACAGAGGCUUAAACUGGGACCCGUACCGGGCUCAACUGGAUAGGUAGCAACACCUUCGGGUGCCUACACGAAGUUGUGUCUGAGGACCUGGUUAGGAGCCAAGCAGGAAACAUGGAAACAUGUACUCUGUAUUCGACCUGAGCUCAGGCAAGGCUACCCGCUGAACUUAA
rnacentral:misc_RNA from 1 species